UACGAAGGGGGCUAGCGUUGCUCGGAAUCACUGGGCGUAAAGCGCACGUAGGCGGAUUGUUAAGUCAGGGGUGAAAUCCUGGAGCUCAACUCCAGAACUGCCUUUGAUACUGGCGAUCUCGAGUCCGGGAGAGGUGAGUGGAACUGCGAGUGUAGAGGUGAAAUGUGUUGAUAUCGGAAGGAACGCCGGUGGCGAAAGCGAUCCGCUGGACCUCUUCUGACACUGAGGCGCGAAAGCCAGGGGAGCAAACGGG
rnacentral:rRNA from 1 species